rnacentral:rRNA from 1 species
AGUCGAGCGCCCCGCAAGGGAGCGGCAGACGGGUGAGUAACGCGUGGGAAUCUACCCAUCUCUACGGAAUAACGCAUGGAAACGUGUGCUAAUACCGUAUACGUCCUUCGGGAGAAAGAUUUAUCGGAGAUGGAUGAGCCCGCGUUGGAUUAGCUAGUUGGUGGGGUAAAGGCCUACCAAGGCGACGAUCCAUAGCUGGUCUGAGAGGAUGAUCAGCCACACUGGGACUGAGACACGGCCCAGACUCCUACGGGAGGCAGCAGUGGGGAAUAUUGGACAAUGGGCGCAAGCCUGAUCCAGCCAUGCCGCGUGUGUGAUGAAGGCCCUAGGGUUGUAAAGCACUUUCACCGGAGAAGAUAAUGACGGUAUCCGGAGAAGAAGCCCCGGCUAACUUCGUGCCAGCAGCCGCGGUAAUACGAAGGGGGCUAGCGUUGUUCGGAUUUACUGGGCGUAAAGCGCACGUAGGCGGACUAUUAAGUCAGGGGUGAAAUCCCGGGGCUCAACCCCGGAACUGCCUUUGAUACUGGUAGUUUUGAGUUCGAGAGAAGGUGAGUGGAAUUCCGAGUGUAGAGGUGAAAUUCGUAGAUAUUCGGAGGAACACCAGUGGCGAAGGCGGCUCACUGGCUCGAUACUGACGCUGAGGUGCGAAAGCGUGGGGAGCAAA